UACGUAGGGGGCGAGCGUUGUCCGGAAUUAUUGGGCGUAAAGGGCUCGUAGGCGGUCUGUCGCGUCGGUUGUGAAAACUCAGGGCUUAACCCUGAGCCUGCUUCCGAUACGGGCAGACUAGAGGUAUGCAGGGGAGAACGGAAUUCCUGGUGUAGCGGUGAAAUGCGCAGAUAUCAGGAGGAACACCGGUGGCGAAGGCGGUUCUCUGGGCAUUACCUGACGCUGAGGAGCGAAAGUGUGGGGAGCGAACAGG
rnacentral:rRNA from 1 species